CUAAUAUAAAAUGAAUUCAUGAGGAAUUGAAUGGUGCUUGCUAUGUGCCUGACUGAUGAAAAUAAAUCAGCUUGCUUCAAGUAUGCCUAUUCUUCAAGUAUGCCUAUUCUCCCCUCUUUAGAGAACAGAUCAUUUUGAUCUUUCUCUAAACCUUGUUUAAUCCAAAAGACAGAUUCUGGGUAUUUAAAAAAAAAGAAUCUCAUAACCACUGAAGCGCUGGGCUGUCAUGUGUUGUGUGGUGAGAUUUGUCAGCUGAGUGACCUGGUGACUGGCAUGAAGUAUUGUAGGAUGCCCUAGUGUGAUAGUAGUAGCAGUUUCAACAGCCAUUGCACAUGCUAUCAAUGCUCUGAGACACGCCGGCAUACCCUGUACCG